CACACGCGCACCUGGCCUCUGUCACCAGCGCCGAGGAGCAGGCGUACCUGGCGCGGGAGGCCCGGGGUGGCACCUACUGGAUCGGGCUGUCGGCCGUGGGCACAGGGGGCUCCUGGCGCUGGUCGGACGGGACCCCCUAUUCCCCCGAGCACAGUUUCUGGGCUCCAGGGCAGCCGGACAGCACCGACCACGGCGCCUGGGCCGGCGAGAGCUGCGCGCAGAUCCACCCGGUGGGCACGGGGCUCUGGAACGACCACAACUGCAACUUCAGCUUCCCCUGGGUGUGCCAGAGGGACCUCAGCGCCCCCUGAGUGUCCCCUCGGUGCGGUCACCUCGGUGCGGUCACCUCAGUGGGGUCACCUCGGAGAGUU